CCUUACACACAGUGUUUUUUGUUAUUACAAGAACUUUUGCUUUGGUCUGGACUAGAAAUAGUUUGGGCCAGAGGUUUACUGAACUAAACUUCAAUAUUUAUAUUGAAUUGUUAUUUAUUUAAUUGUCAAUUUGUUGAUUAAAUUCAAAAAAUCUUCAAAACUUUCAACAACGGAUCUCUUGGUUCUCGCAUCGAUGAAGAACGCAGCGAAAUGCGAUAAGUAAUAUGAAUUGCAGAUUUUCGUGAAUCAUCGAAUCUUUGAACGCACAUUGCGCCCUCUGGUAUUCCAGAGGGCAUGCCUGUUUGAGCGUCAUUUCUCUCUCAAACCUUCGGGUUUGGUAUUGAGUGAUACUCUUAGUCGAACUAGGCGUUUGCUUGAAAUGUAUUGGCAUGAGUGGUACUGGAUAGUGCUAUAUGACUUUCAAUGUAUUAGGUUUAUCCAACUCGUUGAAUAGUUUAAUGGUAUAUUUCUCGGUAUUCUAGGCUCGGCCUUACAAUAUAACAAACAAGUUUGACCUCAAAUCAGGUAGGAUUACCCGCUGAACUUUAAGCAUAUCAUA
rnacentral:rRNA from 1 species